rfam:Geobacter sp. FRC-32, complete genome.
CGCGGUAUCUGGUAACAGCUGCCGUGAUGGGGCAGGAGUCAGCAGAAGCCAUAGUAGGCGAUAGGACGUUGCCGCAAGC